rnacentral:rRNA from 1 species
CUAAGUUUGAUGGCGACCGGCGCACGGGUGAGUAACACGUAUCCAACCUGCCGAUGACUCGGGGAUAGCCUUUCGAAAGAAAGAUUAAUACCCGAUGGCAUAGUUCUUCCGCAUGGUAGAACUAUUAAAGGAUUUCGGUCAUCGAUGGGGAUGCGUUCCAUUAGGUUGUUGGCGGGGUAACGGCCCACCAAGCCUUCGAUGGAUAGGGGUUCUGAGAGGAAGGUCCCCCACAUUGGGACUGAGACACGGUCCAAACUCCUACGGGAGGCAGCAUG